AACGCUAGCUACAGGCUUAACACAUGCAAGUCGAGGGGCAGCAUGGUCUUAGCUUGCUAAGGCCGAUGGCGACCGGCGCACGGGUGAGUAACGCGUAUCCAACCUGCCUUACACUCUUGGACAGCCUUCUGAAAGGGAGAUUAAUACAAGAUGUUAUCAUGAGUAAGCAUUUUCGCAUGAUUAAAGGUUUACCGGUGUAAGAUGGGGAUGCGUUCCAUUAGAUAGUAGGCGGGGUAACGGCCCACCUAGUCUUCGAUGGAUAGGGGUUCUGAGAGGAAGGUCCCCCACAUUGGAACUGAGAUACGGUCCAAACUCCUACGGGAGGCAGCAGUGAGGAAUAUUGGUCAAUGGACGAGAGUCUGAACCAGCCAAGUAGCGUGAAGGAUGAAGGUUCUAUGGAUUGUAAACUUCUUUUAUACGGGAAUAAACGGAUCCACGUGUGGAUUUUUGCAUGUACCGUAUGAAUAAGGAUCGGCUAACUCCGUGCCAGCAGCCGCGGUAAUACGGAGGAUCCGAGCGUUAUCCGGAUUUAUUGGGUUUAAAGGGAGCGUAGAUGGGUUGUUAAGUCAGUUGUGAAAGUUUGCGGCUCAACCGUAAAAUUGCAAUUGAUACUGGCAGUCUUGAGUACAGUUGAGGUAGGCGGAAUUCGUGGUGUAGCGGUGAAAUGCUUAGAUAUCACGAAGAACUCCGAUUGCGAAGGCAGCUUACUAACCUGUAACUGACAUUGAUGCUCGAAAGUGUGGGUAUCAAACAGGAUUAGAUACCCUGGUAGUCCACACGGUAAACGAUGAAUACUCGCUGUAGGCGAUAUACAGUCUGCGGCCAAGCGAAAGCAUUAAGUAUUCCACCUGGGGAGUACGCCGGCAACGGUGAAACUCAAAGGAAUUGACGGGGGCCCGCACAAGCGGAGGAACAUGUGGUUUAAUUCGAUGAUACGCGAGGAACCUUACCCGGGCUUAAAUUGCAACCGAAUAUGGCGGAAACGCUAUAGCUAGCAAUAGCGGUUGUGAAGGUGCUGCAUGGUUGUCGUCAGCUCGUGCCGUGAGGUGUCGGCUUAAGUGCCAUAACGAGCGCAACCCUUGCCGAUAGUUACUAACAGGUCAUGCUGAGGACUCUGUCGGGACUGCCAUCGUAAGAUGUGAGGAAGGUGGGGAUGACGUCAAAUCAGCACGGCCCUUACGUCCGGGGCUACACACGUGUUACAAUGGGGGGUACAGAGGGCUGCUACCACGCAAGUGGAUGCCAAUCCCAAAAACCUCUCUCAGUUCGGAUUGAAGUCUGCAACCCGACUUCAUGAAGCUGGAUUCGCUAGUAAUCGCGCAUCAGCCACGGCGCGGUGAAUACGUUCCCGGGCCUUGUACACACCGCCCGUCAAGCCAUGGGAGCCGGGGGUACCUGAAGUGCGUAACCGCAAGGAGCGCCCUAGGGUAAAACUGGUGACUGGGGC
rnacentral:rRNA from 1 species